rnacentral:rRNA from 1 species
UACAGAGGGUGCAAGCGUUGUUCGGAAUCAUUGGGCGUAAAGGGCAGGUAGGUGGUUUAGUAAGUCGACUGUGAAAUCCCUGGGCUCAACCCAGGAACUGCGGUUGAUACUACUGAACUAGAGUGCUAGAGGGGUUCGUGGAAUACUCGGUGUAGCGGUGAAAUGCGUAGAUAUCGAGUGGAAUAUCAGAGGCGAAGGCGACGAACUGGAUAGCAACUGACACUCAACUGCGAAAGCGUGGGUAGCAAACAGG